rnacentral:SRP_RNA from 1 species
GUUGGGCAUGGUGGCGCGUGCCUGUAAUCCCAGCUACUCAGGGGGCUGAGGCAGGAGAAUUGCCUGAACCCAGGAGGCGGAGGCUGCGGUGAGCCGAGUAACAAGAGCAAAACUCCAUCUUAAAAAAAAAAAGAAAAUUUACAAAAAUAUUUCACAUCCUUUUUUUAAAAAUUUUUAUUUUUUUAUUUUUUUUUGAGACGGAGUUUUGCUCUUGUUACCCAGGCUGGAGUGCAAUGGCGUGAUCUCGGCUCACCGCAACCUCCGCCUCCUGGGUUCAGGCAAUUCUCCUGCCUCAG